rnacentral:rRNA from 1 species
GACUCUUGGCAACAGAUAUCUUAGCUCUCGCAUCGAUGAAGAACGUAGUGAAAUGCGAUACAUGAUGUGAAUUGCAGAAUCCCGUAAACCAUCGAGUUUUUGAACGCAAGUUGCGCCCGAGGUGUCACGCAUCGUCG